GCAGUCGUGGUCGAGUGGUUCAGGCGUCUGACUGGAAAUCAGAAUCCCUCAGGGAGCGUAGGUUCGAAUCCUGCCAACUGCG